rnacentral:rRNA from 1 species
CGCCUGUUUUUCCAAAAACAUCGCCUCUUGACCAAAUAUAAGAGGUCCAGCCUGCCCAGUGACAAAAUUCAACGGCCGCGGUACCCUAACCGUGCGAAGGUAGCAUAAUCACUUGUUCUCUAAAUAGGGACUAGUAUCAACGGCACCACGAGGGCUGCACUGUCUCCUUUCUCCCAUCAGUGAAACUGAUCUCCCCGUGAAGAAGCGGGGAUUAUUAUAUAAGACGAGAAGACCCCAUGGAGCUUUAAACUCAUCACUCACUUCCUCACUUCUAUGCCCUACCAUAUAAGGAACCUGUGUGAUAGUUUUGGGUUGGGGGGACCACGGAGUACAAUCUAACCUCCAUGACAAAUGGGCUACGCCCUUAUCUACGAGCUACAACUCUAAGAAUCAUAAGCUGAUGUUUGAUGACCCGAUAAUUCGAUCAACGAACCAAGUUACCCUGGGGAUAACAGCGCAAUCUACUUUAAGAGCCCCUAUCGACAAGUAGGUUUACGACCUCGAUGUUGGAUCAGGGUAUCCUGGGGGUGCAGCCGUUCCCAAUGGUUCGUUUGUUCAACGAUUAAAACCCUACGUGAUCUGAGUCCCAAACCGGA